AUUGAACGCUGGCGGCAGGCCUAACACAUGCAAGUCGAGCGGAUGAAGGGAGCUUGCUCCUGGAUUCAGCGGCGGACGGGUGAGUAAUGCCUAGGAAUCUGCCUGGUAGUGGGGGAUAACGUCCUGAAACGGGCGCUAAUACCGCAUACGUCCUGAUGGAGAAAGUGGGGGAUCUUCGGACCUCACGCUAUCAGAUGAGCCUAGGUCGGAUUAGCUAGUUGGUGGGGUAAAGGCCUACCAAGGCGACGAUCCGUAACUGGUCUGAGAGGAUGAUCAGUCACACUGGAACUGAGACACGGUCCAGACUCCUACGGGAGGCAGCAGUGGGGAAUAUUGGACAAUGGGCGAAAGCCUGAUCCAGCCAUGCCGCGUGUGUGAAGAAGGUCUUCGGAUUGUAAAGCACUUUAAGUUGGGAGGAAGGGCAGUAAGUUAAUACCUUGCUGUUUUGACGUUACCAACAGAAUAAGCACCGGCUAACUUCGUG
rnacentral:rRNA from 1 species